rnacentral:rRNA from 1 species
AAUGGGCGCAAGCCUGAUCUAGCCAUGCCGCGUGAGUGAUGAAGGCCCUAGGGUCGUAAAGCUCUUUCGCCUGUGAAGAUAAUGACUGUAGCAGGUAAAGAAACCCCGGCUAACUCCGUGCCAGCAGCCGCGGUAAUACGGAGGGGGUUAGCGUUGUUCGGAAUUACUGGGCGUAAAGCGCACGUAGGCGGACAUUUAAGUCAGGGGUGAAAUCCCGGGGCUCAACCCCGGAACUGCCCUUGAUACUGUGUGUCUUGAGUUCGAGAGAGGUGAGUGGAAUUCCGAGUGUAGAGGUGAAAUUCGUAGAUAUUUGGAGGAACACCAGUGGCGAAGGCGGCUCACUGGCUCGAUACUGACGCUGAGGUGCGAAAGUGUGGGGAGCAAACAGGAUU